AUAUAGCGGAUCGUUUUUUAACGAUGAACCUUUUUCUUAUCCGAAUUUCGAGCUAAACAGCUAGGUAUUAGGAUUUAGUGAAGUUUCAAUCUUUGGACGUACUUUAACGGGAACACAAUUGAAUUAUGGAUUACAGUGGGAUACUUAAGUUCAAGCUUUGAGAAAACGAGGAAAGGCGUUAAUCCUUUGUAUUGACAAUAAGAAGUGAUGCUCAAGAAAUAAGUUUUAAUGCUAAGUUGAUUGAACUGGUCAAUUAAUAUUUGAUAAAUUUUUUCAAUCUUAUUGUAAUUUGAUGCAUUAAGGUUCGUAUAAACAGCUUUUCGAUAGUUUGUGAAAUAAAAUGCAGAAGUACUCAGUAGUCUGUUACAGAAUUUA